rnacentral:lncRNA from 1 species
CUCCAUCUUGCAUAAGGCUAUCUUCUGCCUUUCGAGACUAAGAUCUAUCUCCAUCCUGCAUUGCAUAAGGCUAUUAUCUGCCUUCUGAAGUUAAGCUCUACCUCCAUCUUGCAUAAGGCUAUCAUCUGCCUUUCGAGACUAAGCAUUGUCUCCGCCCUGCAUGGCUGAAAUAUCGCCGCUUUAUUCUUCGACCGGCUCAAACAUCGCCACCUACAUUUGAAAUUCUCAUCUGGCUGAAUAUCGCCAUCUGUUUAAGUUUCUCGCUCAGGCUGAAAGAUCGCCGCCCUUUGUAUUCAUUUGGCUGAAAGAUUGCCACUUUUCUCUUGGGCUGAAAGAUCGCCAACUUAUUCAAAAGCAUCAUAGUUCGAAGGCACCAUCUGCAUAGGCCAAGAACAUCAUUCCAUGGCAUGUGAACCUUUACUUUUAUGCUUUUCAUGGCCCAGGAUAUCAUAGUCUGAGGACAUCAUCCUAACCGUCCAAGGACAAACAUUCAUGGUCCAAUGGGAACUUGCAUCACAUUUAAAUUGCCCGUGGCUUCGUACUGAUUCUCUCCAACCUUUGCUGUCCUCGUCUCAUCUCCACCUCUAAAGACAGAAGUCGGAAACUCUCUAUCAGUGAUAGAAUGCAGAAGAUUCAAAUCAUUUAUAUAGAAAUCAAAUCGUAUUAAGUCUUAAAAUAAUUCUAUCAUCUAAACCUGUAGGCUUAACUUCACAACGAUUAAUACAUUCAGAAUUGAAUUUGGUCUAUUCUGUUACUUGGAUUUAGCUUCUGAUUUCGGUAAAAGCUUUCAUUUUUUUCUAUUUAUCUUUCUUGCAAGUAGUAACAAAAUUCAACUUUAAUUCACAAAUACUUAUGUGAAUUAAAAAAGAAAAAAAGAAAACUCAAAUAUCAAACGAUAUUCAUUCAUAAAGUUCAAACCUAUUCCACUUUUUUCCCUCUGUUCUUAGGCAUAUAUUUCGUGAAUUUGAACUACAUUUUUGUUCUUAAUAAUUUUAAUAAUUUCACCAUUAACAAAAUACUUUAAAUAACAAGGAAGCAAACAUUUUUCAGGUAUCUGAUACAUGUUCAUUAGCGGAUUUUUCUGAAAUUGUAUUUCGAAUUUUGAAAGGUUUUUCUCUGUUUUCUUCAGUUCUUUCUUAUUUCGUGUAUGAGUUUCUAGGGUUUCGAUUCUAUGUAUCCGUGUUGCCUCUAGUUCUAUAAAUCUGUGUCAGAUCUGUGUGAAAUCUAAAGUUCUUAAUCCAAAUAAAACUUACCAGUGGAAGUAUUUUUACUUGAUUAAUUUUCCAGCCGCAUCUUCACACCGAUUCUUUACUCUCUGUUUUCUUUCAAUUUCUCUGUACUCUUCCAUCACUUUCUCUGUACUCCUUCAUCUCUUUUUUGCUUUCUCUGUAUUCCUCCGUCUCUUUCGCUGAAGCUAGGCUCCAAUUCGAAGCAUCUCCUAUUUAUCUGGCUUUCGGUUUAGUUUACUUUUUGUUUUUGCUUCAAAUAGAU